GCCUCCACCACUGCUUAGUCCAAUAGUAACACCUGCAAUGGAUGACCCGUUUAAGUCGAGUUAUUUAUCUCCGAGAUUAUAGCAGUAACAGUAAUAGAUAGAAACCACUAUGAUUUUUACCUAAUAUUAGAGUAGUUGGUUUGCAUUUUCUGAUGACGCUAUUGAAAUCUGUUCCACGAGGACAACUGGUGCAUGUAUAACUUCCGAAACUAUUCUGGCAGAUACCCUUGCAGAUGUAUUUAUCUGGCUGAUGGCACUCGUUGGUAUCUGUAAAUAGCACACAGUAAGAUCUCUGAUCAUCUUUGCACCAUACGAAAUUUGUAUGCAAUCUGUCACACAAUAAUGCGUGCAAUUUUUACAACCAAACUAUCUACUUAUUUGACCCAUGGCACUAAUUUUGAGCUUGAAACAGCAACAAAUGUUUGUGUAUUUAGCAAUCUUCAUAUUUUUUGGCAUUCUGCCACAUCAUGGUGCCCCUCAGAUUUUCUGAAAUUAGUUGCGGGGGCAGAUAAAUCGUCGUGCUCAAAGCUACUUUAUGUUUGUCGAUUUUGCUAUGAACAAAUUUAUUUACUUUUGGAAAAAUGUAAACCAUGUUGACUAUCUUAUGUAUCAACUGGUCGCGGGCAGUGAAAUUUAUCCCAACAAUCGUUGGAGCAGGAGCGGAUGGUUCUGGUGCCAUGGGGUUGGAAUUGGCUACAGAGACGUCAUGUCCCUGUUAACAUAUAACGGGAAGGAAUGAUGAAACGAAAAAGCAAAUCAUUCAAUUUUGUAUACUGUGGCACCGUUACAUGCUUGAAUGUGGCUGAAGAUUAUCCAUUUGAGAAAACCUGGAGUUCACCAGGCUGGCUGAAGUUGUGAGGCUGGGAGGCUGAUGGUGCUGCUACUGGUUGAUCCUUCUUCUUUUAGCUUUUGUUCGUCCUUUCUCAAGCCGUUGGACCAGGGCUACUUCCCUAUGUGUUGUUAAUGUAUUAAGUAGUUCCUUCGAAUUUGUAGUAUUAGUUAGUUUGAAUGUGGAAGUACCUUAAUUUUUAGGAACGAAAUGUUGCUUUGUA